rnacentral:rRNA from 1 species
GUACCGUGAGGGAAAGAUGAAAAGAACUUUGAAAAGAGAGUUAAACAGUACGUGAAAUUGUUGAAAGGGAAACGAUUGAAGUCAGUCAUACCAACGGGAAAUCAACCUUUUGAGCUCGGUCUCGUGGGUUUUGAAGAGUUUCAAAGCCUUCGGAUUCGCGGGAUUGGGAUCUCUUGGCGUACUUUUUCGUACGGUUAGUCAACAUCGGUUUUGAAUGUCAUAAAAUGACUGGAGGAAUGUAGCUUCGAUCUCGUAUUGAAGUGUUAUAGCCUUUGGUAGAUGUGAUGUUUGAGACCGAGGAUUGCAACGGAUACCCUUCAGGGCUAUUCGUCUGAUCUCUGAUACGUUGCCUUGAUGUUGAAAGCUUGCUUAUGAUGUUAGGGUAUUACGGUCAAAAGGUUAGAACGAAUUACAUUCGUUAAGG